UGCCGCAUGCAAACAUGCACGCAGCGUUGCACGUCCUUCGCGGAGGAGCAGCACUGCUGCUGCUGCUGCUGCUGCUGCAAUUCCUCUGCACCCUAACUCCUUCAGCUAUGCAACCGUCUCAACCGCCUCAACAACGAUGUCUGCACCUCAUGCAGAAAGGUCCUUCCAGACGUCGGCAACCGCAGUUUUGUGGUCUUUUACAGCAACCCAAAAUUUUUUUUAACGGCACCAAAUUUGGUCGUGUCAAAGACGUCAUUGAAUCAAACGGCCCUACGGGCCGCAUAUGAGGCCUUUACUGCCUUUGGAUAACGUAUGUGUCUGUGCGAUGUACCAGUUUUACCGCUGGCUGCGAGGUUUGGGAGCUUUUUUACGGUCUUGGGAACAUUGGUACGAUCCGAGGGUGCGCCUAAGAGCUGCCGAUGUCUGGUUCCUUCCAUAACCCUCUGCAGCCAGCCUCCGUGCACCUGAUGCUAAGGCGUAUGACUGCCUUUGAGAGCCCACGCGAACCCCAUCUGGAACGCUGUCGCCCUGCAUAUGCAGCAGAUCAAGGGGUCCAGCGGUGCCGUCAUGACAGGAAUACUUUUGCAUGCGGACUCUUAACGUCGAUAAUCCAUGCUGCGGUUUAAUCACUUGGACCCAUACAUACACAUUUCAUGUACCUUGCUGUCCAAUAAGUGAGGAAAGACGCGCACCUUGCUUUGCCUGUGUCGUGCUAGGGGGAUGGAUGCCAUCAGUGUAUUUUUUUUCGUGGAGGCCGAUCCUGAAUCUGUUACGAGUUCCGUAAUAAAUAUGCCAUCCGUCCAAUACGUUUAUUACUGCCAGAAUUUUUUUCCUGGGGGGGCAAGC
rnacentral:lncRNA from 1 species